rnacentral:rRNA from 1 species
GCUUACGGCCACACCGCCUGGUUCACGCCCGAUCUCGUUUGAUCUCGGAAGCUAAGAUAGGGUGGGCCUGGUUAGUACUUGGAUGGCAGACCGCCUGGGAAUACCAGGUGUUGUAAGAU